CUUUACUGUAGCUUGGAAUUGAGUUUGGGUUUAUUUUGCGCAGUAUAGGUGGGAGGCUAAGAUAAUAAGCUUGAGGGUUUAUUGGAGCCAGUAGUGAGAUACCACUCUAAAUAAACUAGAAUUCUAACUUUGAUAGUCGUUAACCGGCCAAGGAACAGUUUCAGGUGGGCAGUUUGACUGGGGCGGUCGCCUCCUAAAAGGUAACGGAGGCGUGCAAAGGUUCCUUCAGGCUGGUCGGAAAUCAGUCGUAGAGUAUAAAGGCAUAAAGGAGCUUGACUGCAAGACCUACAAGUCGAGCAGAGACGAAAGUCGGCCUUAGUGAUCCGGCAGUGCUGAGUGGAAAGGCUGUCGCUCAACGGAUAAAAGUU
rnacentral:rRNA from 1 species